rnacentral:rRNA from 1 species
AGCGAACGCUGGCGGCAGGCUUAACACAUGCAAGUCGAGCGGGCGUAGCAAUACGUCAGCGGCAGACGGGUGAGUAACGCGUGGGAACGUACCUUUUGGUUCGGAACAACACAGGGAAACUUGUGCUAAUACCGGAUAAGCCCUUACGGGGAAAGAUUUAUCGCCGAAAGAUCGGCCCGCGUCUGAUUAGCUAGUUGGUAGGGUAAUGGCCUACCAAGGCGACGAUCAGUAGCUGGUCUGAGAGGAUGAUCAGCCACAUUGGGACUGAGACACGGCCCAAACUCCUACGGGAGGCAGCAGUGGGGAAUAUUGGACAAUGGGGGCGAACCCCGUGAUCCAGCCAUGCCGCGU